UACAGAGGUCUCGAGCGUUAGGCGGAAUCACUGGGCUUAAAGCGUGUGUAGGCGGAUCGUUAAGUGCCUUGUGAAAUCCCACGGCUUAACCGUGGAACUGCUUGGCAUACUGGCGGUCUUGAGCCACCUAGGGGCAACCGGAACAAAUGGUGGAGCGGUGAAAUGCGUAGAUAUCAUUUGGAACGCCAAUGGUGAAAACAGGUUGCUGGGGGUGUGCUGACGCUGAGACACGAAAGCCAGGGGAGCGAACGGG
rnacentral:rRNA from 1 species